rnacentral:misc_RNA from 1 species
AACCAUUCUCACCUGCGGCUAGACCUGCGGAAGGAUCAUUACCGAGUUUACAACUCCCAAACCCCUGUGAACAUACCAAUUGUUGCCUCGGCGGAUCAGCCCGCUCCCGGUAAAACGGGGCGGCCCGCCAGAGGACUCCUAAACUCUGUUUCUAUAUGUAACUUCUGAGUAAAACCAUAAAUAAAUCAAAACUUUCAGCAACGGAUCU